AUGGAGGUCUGCGGCGCCGAGGAGAAGCAGACGCCGCCCAAGAAGAGGAGCGGCGGGAAGGGGGCGGCGAUGGGCGUGCGCGCGGAUGGCGGCGGCAAGGGCCGGCGGCCGUCCUUCCCCGGGCGCUGCGCGCGGCUCGUCAAGGAGCAGCGCGCGCGGUUCUACAUCAUGCGCCGCUGCGUCACCAUGCUCGUCUGCUGGCGCGACUAUGCGUGA
rnacentral:rRNA from 1 species